UCCGCUUCCGGUCGCGUCAUUUCCGCUUCCGCCGCCGCCAUCUCCGCCAGGCCGGGCCCGGAGCCGCCGCCGCCGCCGCCAUGGGCGCUCACCUGGGCCGGCGCUACCUGUGGGACGCCGAGGCCGAGCCCGACCCGCUGCACAUGCCGUCCUUCCCCGCCCAGCUGGGCAUGCCGGCCCGCCAGCCGCGCGCCAUGGUGGCCUCGGCGGCGCAGCUGUCGGCCGCGCGCGUGCCCCUGGAGCAGCGGGAUUUCUGCGCGCACCACCUGCUGCGGCUGCUGCGCUGCCAGAGGGACAACUUCCCCGUGCCCUGGGGGUGCCACGCGCUGCGCCACGCCUGGGACAGCUGCCAGCAUGAGGACUACGUGAUGCGCAUGAAGGAGUUUGAGCGCGAGCGGCGCCUGCGGCUGCGGCAGCAACGGCUGAGACGGCGCCGCGGGGACAGCGGGGACAGCGAGUGACACCGAGUGACAAACGGGGACACUGCGGGGACAGCGAGGGACAAACGGGACAGCGAGGGACACCGAGUGACACCGGGAACAGCAAGGGACAGCGGGGACAGUGAGUGACACCGAGUGACAAACGGGGACACUGCGGGGACAGCGAGUGACAAACGGGACAGCGAGGGACACCAGGGACUCCAAGUGACACCCAAGUGGCACCGAGUGACACCUGGGGACACCACAGUCACUGUCACCCGAGUGACACCCGCGUGACACUGAGUGACGUCUGGGACACCGCAGUGACACUGAGUGACACCUGAGUGACAGUGACACGAGGCCAACCCCCAAUAAAGCUGUCAGGGGACACCGCAGUGACACAGAGUGACAUCUGGGACGCCGCAGUGACAGCCCAGUGACACCGAGUGACACCCCGGUGACAGUGACACAAGGCCACCCCCCAAUAAAGCUGUCAGGUGACACCGCAGUGACACCGAGUGACACCUGAGUGACAGUGACAUGAGGCCACCCCCCAAUGAAGCUGUCAGGUGACACCGAGUGACACCGCAGUGACACCGCGGUGACAGUGACAUGAGGCCACCCCCAGCAAUAAGACUGUCAAGUGACACCGAGUGACACCCGAUGACACUGUAGUGACACCGAGUGACACCCCGGUGACAGUGACACGAGGCCACCCCCAAUAAAGCUGUCAGGUGACACUGCAGUGACACCUAAGUGACACCCCGGUGACAGUGACACGAGGACACCCCCAAUAAAGCUGUGAAGUGACACCGCAGUGACACCUGAGUGACACCUGAGUGACAGUGACAUGAGGCCACCCCCCAAUAAAGCUGUCAGGUGACACCGAGUGACAUCUGAGUGACACCGAGUGACACCCCGGUGACAAUGACACCCCCCAAUAAAGCUGUCAGGUGACACCGAGUGACACCGAGUGACACCGCGGUGACAAUGACACCCCCCAAUAAAGCUGUCAGGUGACACUGAGUGACACCGAGUGACACCGUGGUGACAAUGACACCCCCCAAUAAAGCUGUCAGGUGACACCGAGUGACAUUUGAGUGACACCGAGUGACACCCCGGUGACAAUGACACCCCCCAAUAAAGCUGUCAGGUGACACCGAGUGACAUUUGAGUGACACCGAGUGACACCGCGGUGACAAUGACACCCCCCAAUAAAGCUGUCAGGUGACA